rnacentral:rRNA from 1 species
CCUACGGGCGGCAGCAGUGAGGAAUAUUGGUCAAUGGGCGGGAGUCUGAACCAGCCAAGUCGCGUGAAGGAUGACUGCCCUAUGGGUCGUAAACUUCUUUUAUCUGGGAAUAAAAUGUUCCACGUGUGGGCGUUUGUAUGUACCAUAUGAAUAAGGAUCGGCUAACUCCGUGCCAGCAGCCGCGGUAAUACGGAGGAUCCGAGCGUUAUCCGGAUUUAUUGGGUUUAAAGGGUGCGGAGGUGGAUUGUUAAGUCAGUUGUGAAAGUUUGCGGCUCAACCGUAAAAUUGCAGUUGAAACUGGCAGUCUUGAGUACAGUAGAGGUGGGCGGAAUUCGUGGUGUAGCGGUGAAAUGCUUAGAUAUCACGAAGAACUCCGAUUGCGAAGGCAGCUCACUGGACUGCAACUGACACUGAGGCUCGAAAGUGUGGGUAUCAAACAGGAUUAGAUACCCGUGUAGUC